CAUCACGGACAUCAUCAUCAUCAUGGACACUAGGAAAAAGAUUUGGCUCAGGUUAUAAAAUUACAAAGUGGUAUCUAUUGAACAGUUCACAUGUUUCCUUUGAGACAAAAAUGUUUCCUAGAUUUGAAACCUGGAUUUCUGUGGAAUUACUAUUUGACGGAAGAAAUAAUCAUUCAAUUAAUUUUUCUGAGGCUGGAAUACAAAAUAAACACUUACUUUAUAUACCAAAAAAUGUAUUUGAACUUUUAUUUGACUGAGGUCUUAUUAUUUUACUAUUUUACUGGCAACGCUGUAAUAGCGCCACUGUUAGUAUUGCAUCAAAUCAGUCAGACAGCCGUGGAUUUGAAAGAGUUACUUCUACACUCAGUAGGACGUCUGUUUGUAAAAAAUUUUAUAUUGGGAACCAAUUAUUGUCUGUGCUUGGUUGGCGUUAUUGUGUAUAAUGAAGUUGGAUAUCAGACAUCUUGAAACUUAAAACUUCUGGAAGGAAUUUUACUGGUGUAUCUAUAUAGAAAACGCUAGCAAUUUCUAUAAAAGGUAUCCUACAUCACAUUCAGUAGUCCUGUUAUACAUCGCACUAGUGCAUUAUUCAGUUUCUGUGGCAAUUGUUCCUCUGGUGGAAAUUUGAAAAAUGCAUUGAAAAGUGGAUAAGCUAUCGAUUUGGCUCCGGAAGUAAUCAAGGCUGAAAAAUCCGAUUCAGUGUCAACCAACACUCCUAGGCGUGGUUUAACACCCUCUGGUGUAGGACAGCAAAAUUCCGAUUCAGAAAAUACACCGCUUACUAGAGUACACCAACUAUCUGUUUCUUAUAUUAUGACAGUUUUUGUCUUUGUUUCAGUAAAAAAAAGAUGGGUAUUCAAAGUGAAAUAAUUUUUUUUCAAAAAGAUAAAGACUUCACUGAAAUUGAAGACGAUUUUUUGUAAUUUUUCUGCAAAUCUAAAGAAGAAUCUUAUUUGAGGAUAUUUUCAAAUUCUGAUCCGAUUUCCGAGACCUUAGCUCCUUUGGACAUAUUGUCAGAUUCCACUUUUAAGGCAAUAUGUGAUACUAAUAUAUUUGAUAGAACUAAUAGCUCUACAUCUAUGUUAUCAAUUAGCUAAAGAAUGGAAAAUAUUUUAGAUGUAGAUGAUCUACAAACAUAAAUUACUCGUGGCGGGCAGUACAUAAUAGACGAGUACCAGAAGAAUAAACUGUUGACUGACAGAAGCAGAAACAUAGCUGCAAAUGUGCUUUAUGAAAAAUAUGGGAGUGCAGUACCCAAGAGUGCAAAAAUGGAGUGCGCAAAAAAAUUAGUUGAUAUUUUCCCACUGUACACAAAUUCGGAAAGUUCUUCAGGGGAUUACGAAUUUUUUUUCAACCCUAGGUAACUUUUCAGGUAUCCUGAAAAUCGACUGACAAUUUUAAAUAGAAUAAGUAAAAUAGAGAUAAACAAUCCUCCUGCCAACCACCUUCAUGACCAGAAUGUUUCGAUAACAUCAGAGGAAAUUAAUCUUACUAAAGAACUCCAAAAUCUGUUUUUAUUUAAUAAUAUUCUUAAGUUUGAAUUAUUGAUAUUUUGGUAUCAGACCAAUUGUCAACAAAAAUCAUGUCAGUUAGGUUUUCUAUUAUUUCUAAUAAACGUUAUUUUUAU